GGGCCAAGCCUGAGCACGACGCCGCGUGCGGGAUGACGGCCUUCGGGUUGUAAACCGCUUUUGAUCGGGAGCAAGCCUUCGGGUGAGUGUACCUUUCGAAUAAGCACCGGCUAACUACGUGCCAGCAGCCGCGGUAAUACGUAGGGUGCAAGCGUUAUCCGGAAUUAUUGGGCGUAAAGGGCUCGUAGGCGGUUCGUCGCGUCCGGUGUGAAAGUCCAUCGCUUAACGGUGGAUCUGCGCCGGGUACGGGCGGGCUGGAGUGCGGUAGGGGAGACUGGAAUUCCCGGUGUAACGGUGGAAUGUGUAGAUAUCGGGAAGAACACC
rnacentral:rRNA from 1 species